rnacentral:sRNA from 1 species
GAAGGGGGUUAGCGAAACGUUAGCGGUCGAGUCUGGGCAGGGGGUGGAGCUGGUUGAAGGAACGGGGCAGUCCCCUGAGGAGCGGGGCUGGUUGAAACGCUAGGGGCGGGAUCUGCCCGAGUGGAAGGUACCGGUCCGGCCCGAUAAGGGGUGGAGUUAAGUGAAUCGUUAAGGGUGGAGUCGAGACCGGGGCCGGCUGAGUGAAAGGGUGGGUGAUUAUCCCGGGAGAUAGGCCGAAAGGGCCGAACCGCGGCAGGGGCCAAGCCUCCUCAACUAUGACCUCAACCGGCCAGGAUUCCACCACAACCAGGCAGCGAAGAAGUAGGCAGAACCCCCAGUCGCCCCCUCAGGACUCCAGUGUCACUUCGAAGCGAAAUAUUAAAAAGGGAGCAGUUCCCCGCUCCAUCCCCAAUCUAGCGGAGGUAAAGAAGAAAGGCAAAAUGAAGAAGCUCGGCCAAGCAAUGGAAGAAGAUCUAAUCGUGGGACUGCAAGGGAUGGAUCUGAACAUUGAGGCUGAAGCACUGGCUGGCACUGGCUUGGUGUUGGAUGAGCAGCUAAAUGAAUUCCAUUGCCUCUGGGAUGACAGCUUCCCGGAAGGCCCUGAGCGGCUCCAUGCCAUCAAGGAGCAACUGAUCCAGGAGGGCCUCCUAGAUCGCUGCGUGUCCUUUCAGGCCCGGUUUGCUGAAAAGGAAGAGCUGAUGUUGGUUCACAGGUGAAGGCUUGGGAGCCUUGUAGGGAUGGGGAGGAGCCUGCCCUGGACAAACCAGGGCAAGCUAAACGCUUUGGGAAGGAAUGUCAUGGUCUCUGUGGCCAGCCUUGGGCAAGUCACUGAGCCUCUCUGAAUCUGUGUCAUCGCCUGUAACAAGGGGACCAGUAAACAUAAGUUCCUCAGGAGAGUUUGAUGUGUGUCAGGUGCUUAGAACAGGGCCUGAUAUAUAAUCAGCCCAUGAUGAGCUAUUACUGUUAUCACGAUCUGAUUGUGUGAAUAGAUGGUGGAUGUGUGGACAGAGUGAUCGGGGUUCCCCCAGGGGCUGCAGGAACCCAGAUUUAGAGGCCUGGUGCUAUGUGGCUUGAGGAAAGCUACCUUCCAGAGCAGGUAUCUGAGCUGAACUUUAAGAGGAGAAAAAGAGUGAGUCAGAUGAAGAGGGUGACUGAGGGAAGGGAAAAACAGACAGCUGGACCAGUGUGGCCAAAGGCCUGAAAGUAGGAUUUGGUGUGGCUAUUGCAGGGGAGCAGAAAAUAUUACUGGAACUGAGGCGGGCUAGGGAAGAAACAGAAUGUGUCUUAUAUCCUGGCUAUUCCUUCAGGUUGACAGUUAGGGGAGCCAAGCCCUAAUUUGACCAGGGGGUUGGUGUAUGGACAGCUCAGCUGGGGAAGAGACAGGGCCCUGAAUCUCAUCUCCCAUCUGUGUCUAGCCUAGAAUAUAUUGAUCUGAUGGAAACAACCCAGUACAUGAAUGAGGGAGAACUCCGUGUCCUAGCAGACACCUACGACUCAGUUUAUCUGCAUCCGGUAUGGAUGAGAACUCUGGGGGCAGGGAAUGGUGGCAAUCUUGGGGUCCCCAUCCCUAUGCCCACCCCACCCUGGGGGAAGCAGCUGAGUGGAUAGGGCUGUUCUCUCCCUUAUUCCCUUUCUGGCUCCCCACUGUCUCUCCAGAACUCAUACUCCUGUGCCUGCCUGGCCUCAGGCUCUGUCCUCAGGCUGGUGGAUGCGGUCCUGGGGGCUGAGAUCCGGAAUGGCAUGGCCAUCAUUAGGUAGGACUCUACAGCAUUUGACUUUUUACAUUGUUUUAAAGUCCUUCCUUCAAGUGUAAAAUGUAUUAAUAUGGGUAAUAUAUUCAUGUGAUUCAAGAAUCCAAAGGUACAAAAGAGAAUGUAAUUAAAAAUCUUGUCUCCCAUCCUUGUCACCCAGACACCUGCUUCCUCUCAUGGGACGUAGUCAUUGGAACCACUGACUCUUGUGUCCUCCCAUAAAGUCUUAUUCAAGAAAUAAAUA